rnacentral:misc_RNA from 1 species
UUUAUUUUCAAACUUUUCCGAGCACUUUUAUUAGUAUAGCUGGAAAGCCAUAGAAGAAUAUACAAAGACCAAAACCAAAACAGCUAACCGAUCCUCUUAACUGGCAACAAUAAAAUUAUACGAUGCUGAAAUUAUCUCUUAAUCAUUUGAGUCUGAGAAUGAUUUUCCCGAAAUUAGAAAGCAGACAACACUGAAACAUUUAAACAUCAAAUAAAUCCAACGAUAUAUAAUUAAGCCAGAAACGGCUUUAUUGUUCAGAAGAUUCAGAAAAGUUUGGAAUUGGAUCGUCUUCAUGGCUUGGUAGCAGCAGCCAAGGUGUUUCCAAUGUCAAUAACAAACCGAUAUUUAACAUCAUUUUUAGCCAAACGCUCCAUUGCUUCGUUCACAUACUCAAUUGGGACAAGUUCAAUAUCUGCUUUUAUGUUGUGUUUGGCUGCAAAAUCAAUCAUCUCUUGAGUCUCCUUCAUUCCUCCAAUGCCACUCCCAGCAACAACCUUCCUUCCGGCAAUCAAAGGAAAGACAGGUAGCUCGAGAGGCUUUUCUGGAACACCAACCAAUACAAGCUUCCCAUCAUUCUUCAACAAUCCAAGUAAUGGCAAGAUGGCAUGAACUGCAGCCACUGUAUCUAGGAUUCCAUCCAAUGUGCCCAUUGCUUCCUACACAACGCAGUUUAUUUAUAUUAUUUUGUUUAAUUUUAUUUGCAAACAAUUUCUCUAUUCCAUUAAACUUCAACUUGAAACCUUAUCUAAAUUGAGAGAAUCUGGUCAGAGUUAACAAAUGGAUUGGGUCGGACGUAUUCAACUCAUUUCUAGUUAGAGUUAUAGUAAUUACCUGCAUUUGGGCCUGGUCACGACUGACCAAAAAAGAGUCAGCACCAAGUUGGGUGAUUGCAUCGUGUUUCUUGUCAGGGGAUGUACUAAUCACGGUGACUUUAGCUCCUAAAGCCUUGGCAAAUCUAACAGCAACAUGACCAAGACCACCCAGGCCAACCACACCAACAUGCUUACCAGGUUCUGCUAAUCCAAAAUAUUUCAAGGGACUAUAAACUGUGAUCCCAGCACAAAGGAGAGGAGCACCAGCAUCAAGUGGCAUAUUUUCCGGGAAAUUGACAACGUAACGCUGAUUAACGAUCAUGUGAUCUGAAUAGCCUCCAUAAGUGAUUGUUCCAUCGGAGUAAAUGGAAUUGUAGGUGAGUAUCAUCUUGGGACAGUAAUUCUCAAGGUCAUUGUUACAGUUGUCGCAAGAAUGACAUGCACCCACCAUGCACCCUAUUCCCACUUUGUCUCCCACCUUCACAUUUUUCACCUUCCUCCCAACCUCGGUCACUUCCCCUACAAUUUCAUGCCCGGGAACAAUAGGGUACAUAGACACACCCCAGUCAUUCUUCAAGUUGUGAAGAUCAGUAUGGCAAAUCCCACAAAACAACACCUUAAACCUUACAUCUUCCUCACCAGUAGCUCUUCUUGAGAAAACGAAGGGAGAAAGAUGACCAGAUUGAUCUCUAGCUGCCCAUCCAAAGGCCUUUACAGGGUGUUCUUGUUCUGGCAACAACUUCGCCAUAGCUUUUGCCUUUCCGAAACUGUAUA